CUCACAUCUAUAAUAAAAACCUUCCUGUGAACCAUCCCUUGCAACGCCCAUGCCCUCACUUUAUAUAUAGACUGUCUCACCAAGUAGACUAGGCUGACUGUGUAGUGAGCCCCAGGGAUCUGCCUGUCCCUACCUCUUAGUGAUGGGAUGGCGGGUGAUGGAUUCUCCCAUCUUGGCUGGCCUCAAGUCAGUGCUUAUAAUGACACUCAGGAGGAGUUGGGUCCUAGCCUCUGGUGUCUCUGGAAACCAUGACUUCAAUAAUCAUACUGAUCUUCUAAAAAUAUACAAGGUAAAAAUGUACAAGGAAAGACUAUUCCAAGUGAUGGCACCUUGGAAAUAAAUCCACUCCUUAGAGGCACAGGGAACAGCAACCUGCAGAAA
rnacentral:lncRNA from 1 species